GAUGAGGCUGCAAAGACACAAAUCCCAGCUCCAUCUCCCAGGCACUGUGCGAUCUGAACAAAGGAAGCUAACUUCUCCAUCCCUCAGUUUCCUAAUAUCACCUUCUCUGUAUCGUUGUUGCAAGGAUUAAAGAAACAGCUGACAUGCGUGGAUUAGUACAUAGGCAAGUAUUAGUUCUUGGGGUAGCACAUAGGAAAUACUCAGUACAUUUAGCUGUUCUUAUUAUUAAAUGUGAAUUUGAUUAUCAUUUCUUUUUUCCACUUUUAAAAUAGUUGUUUUGAAGUCAUUAUGAUAUUUUGUUUUCUCAAACACCAUGGAGCUAACACUGUGAUAAGGUACUGAAAGUAUUAACAAAAGAAGAAAAGGGUUGUGGGGAGGGGUACUGGAAAGGAACCAACCCUAAAAUGGAUUCAGUACCUACUAUGUAUGGGAUGUUGUGUGGGAAGCUUUGUACAUCUUCUCCUACUUAGUUCUUGUCACAGAGCUAUGGAGUAAGUGUUAGUGCUCUUAUUUUACUGAUGGGGAAAAUGAAAUUCUGAGCAACUAGAUAAUUUGGCCAACACAUUUUUGACACAGGAGUCCCUUUUCUCUCUUUUCCAGGAGACAGUACUUGACCAGCUUGAGUGGUUUUGAUAUAAGUCUAAUUCUAAAACCACCAGCCUAUAUUCUUAGAAAUCUUUAAAACAAAGAUCAGAAAAACAAAGUCUAUUACUGAUUAUCUUGGCUUUUAGGAUAAACAGUAUUGCUGCUCCCAAGACAGCUUGAGUAACGUUCUUCUUGGACAUUGAUGGGCAUGUCUAAUUAAGGGAGAAAAAUCGAUUUGCACUGAGAACACACUGAUCUAAUACGGAAAGAGAAGCAGAGAAGACAGAUGAUGAGAAGGUCUUGAUGCUGGUUCAGUCUCCUCUGCAUCCCAUCUUUUCUGAAGCCAGCUCUAAUUCUUCCUUCUCCACCACUGAUAAAUAGUAAAUUUUCCUCUUUGAUUUAAACUAGCAAUGUAGCUGUUGUUCAAAAUUAAAAGCAUCAUAACUAACACAGAGCCCUGCAUUGACCUCUUUGGAGCCUUGGUGAUGCAAUUCUCACCAUGCGAGGAGCCCUUUUAUCAACAAUAUACCUGACUCUAACAUCUAGGAGUGUAAUGUUGAAAAACACUGAGUGUCUGCUUCCAAAGAAGUCCAAU